CUUUACAGAAAAUUCAGCCAAGUCCACGGCGAAAACUGGCACGGCUACCGGCAAAUUAAAAGACGUGCUUAUUUUCACAUUUACGAAAUAAAAAAGAUAAAAGAUUGAAUCGACUCCGAGCACGAGCAAGCCAGGGCCCCAUCAGUUGCCGGCAAGCGAAGUCUAUUUCCCUUUAAUCCCCCUUCUCUCUGUCUUUUUUCGAGAGCAACUCAUAAAAUUGAGCAAAAAUGGAGAGCAAGCGGAAGCGCUCUUUCCUUGAAGAAAUCGAAGACAAUGAAUCUGAAAAAUCCAAGCAGAAGAAGGUUAGAUUUCCUAAAGGUAAGAAGGUGAAGAGUGGAGAUGAAAUAGUGGACAGAAGCAAAGCUGAAGAAGAAGGUCCAAGUGAGAGGAAGGAUCCUCGUCUCGCUGCCAAGGAACGUGCUAUUCUUCGCAAUGAAAUUACUGCUCAAAUUUUUAGUGAAGAUUCCAAUGAUCUCUCUGCUGCUGAAGUCGCUUAUGAGGAGAAUGAGAACUUUGUUGAAGAUGGCAUCCAGAUAGAACCAUUUAAUCUCGAGAAAGAGAGAGAAGAAGGUUAUUUUGAUGCAGAGGGCAAUUUUGUUGAAUAUAUCAAUCAAAAUGAAAUCAAGGAUGCGUGGCUGGAUAGUAUUCAAGUUGAUCCAAGAUAUGCUGGGAAAAACUCUAUGGUUAGAAUUAAUGAACAUGAUGAUAAAGAUGAUGUCCGUGAACUUUCUUCCCAAGAAAUUGGAGCAAUGAAGAAGCGCAUUGCCAACUUGCUUGAGCCAGGAGAAACAGUCUUACAAGCUUUGAGAAGGUUGAAAGGAAGAUCAAAUAAGAGCAAGGAAAAGAUGCCGACUGAGACACAGCUUCUGUUUGACCAGCUAACUGAAGAUGCCAACAAGUUGUUGGAUCAUGGCGAGUACAAUGUAUAUUAUGACAAGCAAGAGGUUUUCAGGCGUGAGGCAGAAGGAUUUGAAAAGUUAGCUUUAGCUAGGGGGAAGGGCACAGCCAUCAGUGAUGUCCUGGAUGAUUCUGAUUUUAGCAUGGAGAAGGACUUGUCAUCUGGUGUGACUGAUCGUGGUGCAGCCUCUUCAGUGCUCUCUGAUAUGGAUGUGGGUACUUCAAUCCCAAAUGUAUCUACUGCAGAAAUCUCAGGCAAUGACGGUAAUGCAUAUGACAUGUUUGGGGAUGAUGAGGACAAUGCUAUAGCUGUUGCAUCGUCUGAUGUUAGUAAUUUUGUCCCUGGCACCAAGUCUAAUGUAGCCUGUCAACCAUCAUCAGAUGGUCUUAAUACCAUCUCUGGAACUGGACCCUUGCAAAAUGAUUAUGUCUAUGAUGAGACUUCUGGGUACUACUACAGCAGCAAUUUGGGAUAUUAUUAUGACCCAUCUACGGGGCUGUUCUGCCAGGCAACAUCAGGGCAAUGGUACUUAUUUAACGAGGAAACUGGCACGUACAGUGAAAUUCAUAAUGAAAUUCAUGAGGUGGCAACCAAUGCAAACUAAAGGAACUGGUUUUGUUGCUUGUUUGAGGAGUUUGUACAGGUUUACAGAGGAAAAGUUGUGAUAUGUGAACUGAUAUAACAACUGUUCUCUAUGCUAGUGAGCUGGCCUGACCCAUAAAGUGAUUUAUCAUUUUGAAAGACGAGCUAAAGUUUCUCGAUUGUGAAUGCUAAUGAGGACUUGUAGAUUUCACAUCGCUGCUUGAUCUGGUCUUCACAUUGAGCAGCAUUACAGAGUGACCAAGAACCUAAAAGCAGGGAAACCCUGCUAGUAGAAAUUUUGAAGCUUCAGCGAUUCAGAAAUUGUGAACUAUAUCAACUUUUCUUGAGAUAUAUUGGAUGGUUGAACUUCCUGCUGCUAGAAAUUGGUGAGUGAAGAUUGGAAGAUACUUGAUUGUGAGUUGUUUCCCAUGUUCUCUUUGUAAGACCAUGUUCUUUUUUUUAUAUAAAAAAAAAUUGUGUCAGCAAAUAGAAUAUAUUAAUAUGUGCGUUGUGCAUUUCCAAUGGAUUAGAACUUAGAAUCCAAAUGAAAGGAAACAAAUGUAGGGGAGGGAGAAAAUCAACUUAGUUUGACAUAUUGCUCAUCAAGAGGGUUUAUUGUGUCAUGGGGAAUGAAGAAUCCUAAUCUGCACUUGCUUUUAAUUCCAAUUCUAUUCAAAAUCUGUAUUGAUAGUAUGA